GGCGGGGUGGCCGAGUGGUUAGGGUGCUGGACUUGUAAUCCGGUGUCCGGGGUUCAAGUCCUCGACCCUGCCA
rnacentral:tRNA from 1 species